UACGAAGGGGGCUAGCGUUGUUCGGAAUGACUGGGCGUAAAGGGCGCGUAGGCGGCGAUGUAAGUCAGGCGUGAAAGCCCCGGGCUCAACCUGGGAACGGCGCUUGAUACUGCGUUGCUUGAGGACGGGAGAGGAUGGUGGAAUUCCCAGUGUAGAGGUGAAAUUCGUAGAUAUUGGGAAGAACACCGGUGGCGAAGGCGGCCAUCUGGACCGUUUCUGACGCUGAAGCGCGAAAGCGUGGGGAGCAAACAGG
rnacentral:rRNA from 1 species